rnacentral:lncRNA from 1 species
UGAUAAUUAGAUUAAAUAAAAUGCUCUUGAAGUCAAUUUCACCUGUUUUAAUGUGACUUCUAAAAACAUUCUAAAGUAUGAGUAUCUUAUACUUCUACAUUUUAUCACUGGUAUAGAAUUUUUAGCACAGACAGUGCUGAAAGUUCCCACUGCAAACCAUUCUGAGGGGUAACAUCGAGAGCCCACCCAUGAGUCUUAGCCCCCUGUCUCAAUAAUACAUGCCCAGGGGCUGAUGUUCACUCUGUUUGGCUGCAAACCUAGGGUCAGAGUAUAUGGAAAUGCCUGAAAGGCCCUACCUAUGCAAAGAACAAAGCAGGUAAAGUUUUUAUUGGGGGUGGGGGGGCUGGCACUUAGUCCUGUGAGGCCCCAGUGCCCCCAUGCUCUCUCCCCACCCUCCCACAACCCACUCCAAUAACAGAUGGAGCAUUUAUAGCAUCUUAACAUUUAGUUUGGAGAUCUGCUCUGCUCUGCCUUGGGCAAUUUCAUUUUAUGUUUAAUCUUAAAUAUCAUAAUGAAGUGUGGACUAUGGAGCCUUGAAUUCCUGGGAAUGAACAAGGGAGCAUGGGGGGAUCCUCAGAUUCAUCAGCCAGUUCCAAUGUCCCUGGUUCAUCCUAAUCUUGUCCCUGAUUCUCCUGGUUCUGUUUUUCUAUAAAAGUCACUGUAGGUCCUUUCCUCCUUCUUCUUCUAAUUCCCACAGGGUGAAAAAGGUGACCUGGGUGUGAUGGGCUUGCCAGGGUCAAGAGGACCAAUGGGCUCCAAGGGCUACCCUGGAUCCAGAGGGGAAAAGGGAUCCAGAGGUGAAAGGGGUGACUUGGGUCCCAAAGGAGAAAAGGUAAUGGCCUUUGCAUGGAAUGAUAAACUACAAUGGAAGUGGCAGCCCCCUGUGAGUUGUUGGGCUGACUGGCUGACUGACCAACAGGGCUCUUCUCUUGAAAACAGCCAACCACCCUCUUCCAUAGCCCUCUCAGGACCUAUCUCAGAGAUAGUCACUGUGUGUUGCUCUCUUCACAGGGCUUCCCAGGAUUUCCUGGAAUGCUGGGGCAGAAAGUAAGUACUUAGAAAUAGUAAUAAAGUAGGCCUCAGUAACA